rnacentral:rRNA from 1 species
UACGGGGGGGGCAAGCGUUGUUCGGAAUUACUGGGCGUAAAGGGCUCGUAGGCGGCCAACUAAGUCAGACGUGAAAUCCCUCGGCUUAACCGGGGAACUGCGUCUGAUACUGGAUGGCUUGAGGUUGGGAGAGGGAUGCGGAAUUCCAGGUGUAGCGGUGAAAUGCGUAGAUAUCUGGAGGAACACCGGUGGCGAAGGCGGCAUUCUGGACCGAUAUUGACGCUGAGGAGCGAAAGCCAGGGGAGCAAACGGG